rnacentral:lncRNA from 1 species
CCUGGAAGCCGCCGCGAUGGACCGGGCUGAGUCCCCUGCUGGAGGGGGAGCAAUGUAGUCGGGCACGGAGGGGCAGACGGAGAGGUGCCCCAAGGCGGAGCUGGGCCCGGAGAGGUGCGGUGCUCGCACACAAAGCGCGGUGGCUGGGCCCAGGGCGCUGAACUGGGCCAGUCUUCUGGGCCGGGGUGGGAAGUGGGAACGGGGCCUGCUUUGGGGACCCGGCCAGUGGUGUGGCCACCGCGCACACCCCUACAGUGCCGCGUUCCUGGGCCUUGGGAGAAAGCUCUGAGUAGUGCCGCCCGGGGCGCGUCUCCAGGGUCCGCCGGGCAUUGGGGUGACCGCCGAGCUAGACGCUCCUGACCGCCAGGCCCCAGGGCCCGCGAUCUGCUCCCGGAGGCGCCCCCAGGCAGGGCCGUGAGCCGGGCAGGGAGAGUCCUGGGCUGCCCCUGAGCCCCGGAACCACUGGAAGAACUUGCAGCAACGUCACCCCUGCUACGAACGCCUACCCAGGCCCAAGGAGGACCUGGAAUGCCCCCCUCCUCCCCGCCCCGCUCCCGCCCAUCACCCCAGGCUGCAAGGAGGCGCCACCGGAGCUGCACACUCAGAAGCAGGUGAGCCAGGGACAAGCAGGAGCCCCGCCCCUUCCCAACUGGUGGAGCAGGAGCUCCCUGGGUGCAGCGGCAGCCACCCUGCCGCGGCUGUGGACAUUUCUGUGCUCUCGGAGGCCCAGCAAAGCCCCCUGCCCACUGCGGGCUCGAGGGUGCCUGCUCCCGCUGCCUGGCUUCUCUCCACUGUUAGCACCCGCUCUGAUCACAGGGCAAGAUCGGGCCGAGCCUGCGUACUGUCACAGCCUCGCUGAGUGUGCACACGCUCAGGACAGCACUGACACGCCAGCCCCCUGCCGUCUCGGCCCCCUUCGGAACUUGGGCACCAACAAGCAUGGGAGGGAGGCCGAGAGGGGGCUGAAGAUAGCUGGGCACUGGCUUACAGGCGCCCCUUGGCAUGAACAGCCUGGGAGCAGGAGGCAGACAGGUUCCUGGGUGGAAGGGGGUGGGUCCCCAGUGAAGCCCCACCCUCAAGCCGCGGAGGGCCUGAAGCCUGGAGACCAGAGAGGGAACUCGUGGUGCUGUUCCCUGGGCCCACCCGUGGCUGCCCAUGGACCAAUCAGCACGCAUUUCCUCCCCUCUGAGGCUCAUAAAAUCACGUGGACUCAGCUAGAUUGGAAGAGAGGAUGGGAAGACAACGGAUGACCUGCCUGUGGAGAGAAACUACCCAUUCUAGGACAUCCUCUCUGCUGAAAGCUGAACACUCAAUGGGAAGACCUGUUUGCAGAGAGGAGCCGCUCACUCCAGGGUCUCCUUUCUGAUAGAAGCUGAACACUCGUUGGGACACCCUGGCUGUGGAAAGGACACCCUGGCUGUGGAAAGGAGCUACUAACUGCGGGUCUCCUUCCUCUUCGUCUUCCUCAUCCUUCUGUUCCAUUGCUGAAUAAUGCUCCUCUUCAUCUGUCUCAUUCUCCAGUUGUCUGCUUGAGGAGCCGCACAGCAAGGCUAAAAGAGCCGUAACACAAACAGGGCUGCAACAUGCCCUUUGCUCCCCACAGCGAGAGAAGAGCCGCGGCCCUCUGGAGAGCCCAGACCUGGGAGCUCCUU